UUAUUUUCGUUUUUUUUUUGCUAUUACUAUGUGCUACUUUUUUCUGGCGAAGACAAAAAUAAAAUAAUUGUGGCUGUUUAAUAAUGUAACAUAAACAGAAGUAUAAAUAAGUUGUUUUUUCUUUUUCAGUUUCUGAAUUAUUUAUUUCUAGGUAAGAAUAGUGAUCAAACUAUUCUCUUUUAUACAUUUUCAAACAAAAACAAAUGUCAGAUGCAGGUCUUCUUUCUAAUACACUUGCACUGGAUGCAAUUCACGAUAUUGUUCCCUCCCAUGUUAUAAAGUAAAGUUACCUCGAAAUUGAUUUGUGUUGUUUCUUAUGUUUGAUUUUUGUUGCAAAGCUAUGGUGACCAAACACCAUUAACUAUUUGAUUUUACGUAAUGUUUAUGACACACUAGCAUGUCAAGACUAUAUUCUACAAUUGUUGUUUACAUAACAUUUACUGAUUGAGGAAGUAUGCUUACUUUGUUCCCAGUGUCACGGCCUAGUUUCUGUGCCUACUUUACUUGGUCAAUGAUCCAAAGGUAGUAUAUGGGGUGAGAUUGAAAUGCAGNNN
rnacentral:lncRNA from 1 species